AUAGAUCUAAGCCCUUAAAACCGCUUAAUCGUUCGGUUAAAAAUAAAUCUGCUGCCCAGUUUUAAUUACCACAAUUAUUGUUCAAAAUUACAUUUUAAAUAGCAUAAGGGUAUUUCGGUAACUGUGCAACUUAGUAAAAACGGCAACCACCGGAUUUUACUCCCAUUUACCUCAUUUCAUCUCCCCCACCCCAUUUUACUCCCAAUAUACCAUACAAUCGGUAACUUCUCUCUUCCCCUGCCUGUUCUUGCUUCCGAUGGCUGUCCAAUGUCCAUAUCAGGGCGCGCGUCGCUGCGAUCGGCGAUGAUACUCUGCGCGGCGGGUUUCCAGGUUUUUCGACAAGAAUUAGUUUCCAUUUACAGAUUUUCGACCAUCUCUUCUAUUUUCGAUUGUUCAUU
rnacentral:lncRNA from 1 species